UACGAAGGGGGCUAGCGUUGUUCGGAAUCACUGGGUGUAAAGCGCACGUAGGCGGAUGUGCCAGUCAGGGGUGAAAUCCCGGAGCUCAACUUCGGAACUGCCUCUGAUACAGCACGUCUUGAGUCCGGAAGAGGUGGGUGGAAUUCCUAGUGUAGAGGUGAAAUUCGUAGAUAUUAGGAAGAACACCGGUGGCGAAGGCGGCCCACUGGUCCGGUACUGACGCUGAGGUGCGAAAGCGUGGGGAGCAAACAGG
rnacentral:rRNA from 1 species